GACAGGUGCUGCAUGGCUGUCGUCAGCUCGUGUCGUGAGAUGUUGGGUUAAGUCCCGCAACGAGCGCAACCCUUGUCUUUAGUUGCCAUCAUUAAGUUGGGCACUCUAAAGAGACUGCCGGUGUCAAACCGGAGGAAAGGUGGGGAUGACGUCAAGUCCUCAUGGCCUUUAUGACCAGGGCUACACACGUACUACAAUGGCCGGUACAAAGGGCAGCGACACAGCGAUGUGAAGCCAAUCCCGAAAAGCCGGUCUCAGUCCGGAUUGGAGUCUGCAACUCGACUCCAUGAAGUUGGAAUCGCUAGUAAUCGCGGAUCAGCACGCCGCGGUGAAUACGUUCCCGGGCCUU
rnacentral:rRNA from 1 species